UUGCAGAAACAAAGGAGCCUCCCACGGAAGGGAACCGUCGUGAACUCAGAAGUUAGUUUUCGUCCCAGGACCUUUUUAGAAUCGGGCUCCAGCCCAUCACCCUCUCGUUUUGUCCUCAGGAACGGCGGCAGCAGUCUCUUCCCAAUGUUGAGAGCAAAAAGUGUGAACCCAGAAAUUCCGAGAUAGAUCUCAAUUUCUUGCCAAGGUUGACGACACGCGCGUGACAGCCUCAGGAAGUCCUCACGACAUGUGCCCAAGGUGGUCGGGACACAGCUUAGUUUUAUACAUUUUAUGGAGACAUGAGACAUCAAUCAGUGUAUGUAAGUACAUUGGUUCUGUCUGGAAAGGCGGGACAACUUGAAGCAAAGGCAGGAAGACUCGAAGCAGGGAGGGGCUUCCAGGAAACAGAAGAGACAAGUGAACAUUUAUUUUUAUGGCUUUCUUCCUAUGUGUAUUUCAAGUCUUUUUCAAAACAAGGCCCCAGGACUCUCCAGAUUCAGUUAUGUCCUUGGGCUUGGUCGGCUGCUGCAGGAGCCUUAAGGAGCCUUUUACAAAUGCUAGAGUUACUCAUUUAUCAACAUUAAACCCUAGGAUAGAUGCAACGGAGCAAGACUCCUUCCUCCAUGGAAUGUGCUGAUUUCAGAUGACGUGGCACCCAAUGUAGAAAAUGCUGGAAUUUUUCCUUGGAACUGCACUGUGAUGAGAAGUGCUUGCCAUGAACAUAAGCUACUGUCUUUUCUUUUCUUUUUUUGAGACGGAGUUUUGCUCUCGUUGCCCAGGCUGGAGCGCAAUGGUGUGAUCUCUGCUCACCACAACCUCCGCCUCCCAGGUUCCAGCGAUUCUCCCACCUUAGCCUCCCGAGUAGCUGGGAUUACAGGCAUGCGCCACCACGCCCAGCUAAUUUUUAUAUUUUUACUAAAGACGGCGUUUCUCCAUGUUGGUCAGGCUGGUCUCAAACUCCUGACCUCAGGUGAUACGCCCUCCUCAGCCUCCCAAAGUGUUGGGAUUAUAGGCUUGAGCCAUCGCGCCUGGCCAGCUACUGUCUUUUCAGUUUUUGAAGAUAAAGCAGGAAAUAAUCUCUGAAGUACUUGAUAAAAAUUCCCAAAACAACAAAAA